UACGAAGGGUGCAAGCGUUACUCGGAAUUACUGGGCGUAAAGCGUGCGUAGGUGGUUCGUUAAGUCUGAUGUGAAAGCCCUGGGCUCAACCUGGGAAUGGCAUUGGAAACUGGCGACCUAGAGUGCGGUAGAGGGUAGUGGAAUUCCCGGUGUAGCAGUGAAAUGCGUAGAGAUCGGGAGGAACAUCUGUGGCGAAGGCGGCCUGCUGGGCUGUUGCUGACGCUGAGGCGCGACAGCGUGGGGAGCAAACAGG
rnacentral:rRNA from 1 species